CCUACGGGAGGCUGCAGUGGGGAAUCUUGCACAAUGGGCGAAAGCCUGAUGCAGCCAUGCCGCGUGAGUGAAGAAGGCCUUAGGGUUGUAAAGCUCUUUCAGCGGGGAAGAUAAUGACGGUACCCGCAGAAGAAGCCCCGGCUAACUCCGUGCCAGCAGCCGCGGUAAUACGGAGGGGGCUAGCGUUGUUCGGAAUCACUGGGCGUAAAGCGCACGUAGGCGGGUCAGUAAGUCAGGGGUGAAAUCCCGAGGCUCAACCUCGGAACUGCCUUUGAGACUGCUGACCUGGAGGUCGAGAGAGGUGAGUGGAAUUCCUAGUGUAGAGGUGAAAUUCGUAGAUAUUAGGAAGAACACCAGUGGCGAAGGCGGCUCACUGGCUCGAUUCUGACGCUGAGGUGCGAAAGCGUGGGGAGCAAACAGGAUUAGAUACCCUUGUAGUC
rnacentral:rRNA from 1 species